rnacentral:rRNA from 1 species
CAGCAGCCACGGUAAUACGUAGGUGGCAAGCGUUGUCCGGAAUUAUUGGGCGUAAAGGGCUCGCAGGCGGUUUCUUAAGUCUGAUGUGAAAGCCCCCGGCUCAACCGGGGAGGGUCAUUGGAAACUGGGAAACUUGAGUGCAGAAGAGGAGAGUGGAAUUCCACGUGUAGCGGUGAAAUGCGUAGAGAUGUGAAGGAACACCAGUGGCGAAGGCGACUCUCUGGUCUGUAACUGACGCUGAGGAGCGAAAGCGUGGGGAGCGAACAGGAUUAGAUACCCGUGUAGUCCCUGUCUCUUAUAA